AACGGAUAGAUCCGAUCCGGAUCUUAGAGCUACCGCUUGCUCAUUGCUUGCACCCGCCGUGUUUCUAAACGUUAUCCCACGUGCCAUAAAGCCGUCUCCGACCGCCGCUGCGAUUAUGUAAGGAAAAGGUAAGGCAGAGACAGUGUAAUCGCUAUCCUCGAAGACUAAUCACCCGUCGACGUCGCGUCAUACGACUCGCUUGCCGUGGUAUAUGACUAUCAGCCAUUUGCACAAUUAUUUUGAAAUACCUGACCAAAAAUAAAGUGUAUAAAGAGAUAUAUAUAUAUAUAUAUAUACCUUUUCUAUGAACUCUUUUUUUAAGGGGUCUAGACUGUUUACGUUUAUUUAUAUGUUCACGCAUUGGCGUACGUUUGUUCGGUCCCCAGUAAACUAUGAGAAUUUGAAAUAAGCAAUUCUUGAAACCAAGUCAUGUUAUUAGAAUCGACGUGCGUAUGUAAGUUACAUAAUGCAACCAAAUCAUGCAUGUUAAGAUAGACUAAAUAUAUAUAAAUAUAAUUUUUAGUGAUCAUGAUCCAUGUUAGCAUCAUGACUGAACACGACCAAAAAUUAAUCUAAUUAACCACGGCGGAUUUUUUUAGUUCUAUAACUAUAUAUUUUGGUUUCUUCAGAAUUACAGAAAUUGAGAAUAAGUAAUACUAUAGCGAUGAUAGGUUGGUCAUCUAUAUUAAAAGGCAAAAGAUAUUAUUGAUCUUAUCUAUUCAAAAACUGAUUAUUACGUAUAUUAAAAAAACGUUCAACAUUCAAAUGAGUAAGAAUUGAAAACUGACUAAAGUAAUACCACUUGCGUCAAAAAAACACCACUUGCGUUUUUUUAAUUAGGUUUAAUGAGUUUAAAAUAUGUAAAGACGAACAUAUAUCAAAACCAAUAAUUAGAAAGGCGCAAACACGAGCGUCGUUGGGGCUGGUCAUACGUUAAUCUUGAAAGUAUAAUUGAGACUAUAUGGUACACAAGACAAUGGAUGAUGCAAGAUAAGGCCUAAGGUUUCUGUAUACAAUAUAGAUUGUGUUCCGCUAUAGCCUGCACAAGAAUUAAGCUCCAACAUCUAAACAGAAACAUAUACAUAAUACAUUUACAAAAAAAUUUACACAAAA